GACGAACGCUGGCGGCGUGCUUAACACAUGCAAGUCGAACGAAGUGGCGAACGGGUGAGUAACGCGUAAUCAACCUGCCCUUCAGAGGGGGACAACAGUUGGAAACGACUGCUAAUACCGCAUACUGAAGGGGGGGAUUGCGUCGGAUUAGCUGGUUGGAGGGGUAACGGCCCACCAAGGCGAUGAACAGUAGCCGGUCUGAGGGGAUGAACGGCCACAACGGGACCUAGAAAAGGGCCAGACUCCUACGGGAGGGAGCAGUGGGGAAGCUUUCGAAAUGGACGAAAGUCUUACGGAGCAACGCCGCGUGAGUGAUGACGGCCUUCGGGUUGGAAAGCUCUGUUAAUCGGGACGCGGUACCGGAAUAGAAAGCCACGGCUAACUACGUGCCAGCAGCCGCGGUAAUAC
rnacentral:rRNA from 1 species